rnacentral:rRNA from 1 species
GAGUUUGAUCCUGGCUCAGGAUGAACGCUGGCGGCGUGCCUAAUACAUGCAAGUAGAACGCUGAAGCUUGGUGCUUGCACCGAGCGGAUGAGUUGCGAACGGGUGAGUAACGCGUAGGUAACCUGCCUCUUAGCGGGGGAUAACUAUUGGAAACGAUAGCUAAUACCGCAUAAAAGUCGACAUCGCAUGAUGUUGAUUUGAAAGGUGCAAUUGCAUCACUAAGAGAUGGACCUGCGUUGUAUUAGCUAGUUGGUGAGGUAACGGCUCACCAAGGCGACGAUACAUAGCCGACCUGAGAGGGUGAUCGGCCACACUGGGACUGAGACACGGCCCAGACUCCUACGGGAGGCAGCAGUAGGGAAUCUUCGGCAAUGGGGGCAACCCUGACCGAGCAACGCCGCGUGAGUGAAGAAGGUUUUCGGAUCGUAAAGCUCUGUUGUAAGAGAAGAACGAGUGUGAGAGUGGAAAGUUCACACUGUGACGGUAUCUUACCAGAAAGGGACGGCUAACUACGUGCCAGCAGCCGCGGUAAUACGUAGGUCCCGAGCGUUAUCCGGAUUUAUUGGGCGUAAAGCGAGCGCAGGCGGUUAGAUAAGUCUGAAGUUAAAGGCUGUGGCUUAACCAUAGUACGCUUUGGAAACUGUUUAACUUGAGUGCAGAAGGGGAGAGUGGAAUUCCAUGUGUAGCGGUGAAAUGCGUAGAUAUAUGGAGGAACACCGGUGGCGAAAGCGGC